ensembl:lncRNA ATP2B2-IT1 ATP2B2 intronic transcript 1
CUGCAAAUCCCUCCCACUCACCAAACUGCUGCCGCCUGCAAUUCCACAAUGAGCACUUUAGUCAUCAAAUCAUAAAAUGUCAGCUUGUAAUUAGCCUUGGAACCUGUCUAGUUCAAUUUCCCAGCUCAGAGUGCUCUUGGAAGAUACCUGAACGGGCCCUUUAUUUUAGAGUGAAUUAGUGGCAGAGCUGGAACUCGAGUCUGACCCUGCACAGUGAAGGACGCUAGAGGCAUCUGCAGCUUCUUCAAUGGGAAGUUGGGGCAUCAUAUGCCUUUUUGAAAUUAUGUGUAUUGGUAGGUUAUAUGAUGUGUGAAUUUUCUUGGAAGAUAAAGAAAAAAAGUAAAAUGAUGUUGGAUCCAAUGGGACCAAGAGCCACCAGCACAGUGGAUAGAAACAAAGGCCCUGUACUGAAUCCUGCCCUGCCUCCUAAUUAGCUAGGACCUUGCAUAUGAGCAUGAACAUCAGCUCUUAC